GGAGCCGUUUCGGUGUCAACUGCACCGGAUUCUGCACCGCCUUGGUUCGCCUUGGGCGCGAAACCACUGUUAUCGCGUCAGCACGGGGGUUCGAUUCCCCCCGGCUCCA
rnacentral:tRNA from 1 species